rnacentral:rRNA from 1 species
AGGAUGAACGCUGGCGGCGUGCUUAACACAUGCAAGUCGAACGAUGAAGCCGGAGCUUGCUCUGGUGGAUUAGUGGCGAACGGGUGAGUAACACGUGAGUAACCUGCCCUUGACUCUGGGAUAAGCACUGGAAACGGUGUCUAAUACCGGAUACGAACUUCGACGGCAUCGUCAGGAGUUGGAAAGAAUUUCGGUCAAGGAUGGACUCGCGGCCUAUCAGCUAGUUGUGAGGUAACGGCCACCAAGGCGACGACGGGUAGCCGGCCUGAGAGGGUGACCGGCCACACUGGGACUGAGACACGGCCCAGACUCCUACGGGAGGCAGCAGUGGGAAUAUUGCACAAUGGGCGCAAGCCUGAUGCAGCAACGCCGCGUGAGGGACGACGGCCUUCGGUUGUAAACCUCUUUAGUAGGAAGAAGCGAAAGUGACGGUACUGCAGAAAAGCACCGGCUAACACGUGCCAGCAGCCGC